GUCUUCUAUCACAUUCAGUACUGUAGGUCUUCUAUCACAUUCAGUACUGUAGGUCUCACAUCACAUUCAAUACUGUAGGUCUCACAUCACAUUCAGUACUGUAGGUCUCACAUCACAUUCAGUACUGUAGGUCUUCUAUCACAUUCAGUACUGUAGGUCUUCUAUCACAUUCAGUACUGUAGGUCUCACAUCACAUUCAAUACUGUAGGUCUCACAUCACAUUCAGUACUGUAGGUCUCACAUCACAUUCAGUACUGUAGGUCUUCUAUCACAUUCAGUACUGUAGGUCUUCUAUC